rnacentral:rRNA from 1 species
AGAGUUUGAUCCUGGCUCAGAGUGAACGCUGGCGGCGUAGAUUAGGCAUGCAAGUCGAGCGAUACUUUGGGUGAUGAGGUUGAAGCCGUAAGGAAGAUGCCAAAUUGCCCGAAGAUAUAGCGGCAGACUGGUGAGGAACACGUGAGUAAUUUACCUUUAAAUCGGAGAUAGCUUCGCGAAAGUGGAGGUAAUAUUCGAUGUGCUUACAGUGGCAUAAGCCGUUGUAAGUAAAGGCGGCUCGUAAGAGUUGUUGUUUAGAGAUGAGCUCGCGUCCUAUCAGCUAGUUGGUGGGGUAAUGGCCUACCAAGGCGUUUGACGGGUAGCUGGCCUGAGAGGGUGGUCAGCCACAUGGGGACUGAGACACUGCCCCAACUCCUACGGGAGGCUGCAGUCGAGGAUAUUUAGCAAUGGACGAAAGUCUGACUAUGUGACGCCGCGUGAGGGAUGAAGGUCUUCGGAUUGUAAACCUCUUUCGAUAGGGAAGAAAACCUGUUCUUAACGGAACAGACUGACGGUACCUAGAGAAGAAGCCACGGCCAACUCUGUGCCAGCAGCCGCGGUAAUACAGAGGUGGCGAGCGUUACUCGGAUUUAUUGGGUGUAAAGGGCAAGUAGGCGUCUUGACAAGUUAGGAGUGAAAUCCUGCAGCUCAACUGCAGAACUGCUUUUAAAACUGUCGAGAUUGAGACUGGGAGAGGAAAGCGGAAUUCUCGGUGUAAGAGUGAAAUCUGUAGAUAUCGAGAGGAACACCAGUGGCGAAGGCGGCUUUCUGGUCCAGUACUGACGCUGAAUUGCGAAAGCUAGGGGAGCAAACAGGAUUAGAUACCCUGGUAGUCC